rnacentral:misc_RNA from 1 species
UGGACUACAGGGGUUUCUAAUCCUGUUCGCUCCCCAUGCUUUCGCUUCUCAGCGUCAGUAGUGGCCCAGAGACCUGCCUUCGCCAUCGGUGUUCCUCCUGAUAUCUGCGCAUUUCACCGCUACACCAGGAAUUCCAGUCUCCCCUACCACACUCUAGUCUGCCCGUACCCACUGCAAGUUCGGGGUUGAGCCCCGAAAUUUCACAGCAGACGCGACAAACCGCCUACAAGCUCUUUACGCCCAAUAAUUCCGGACAACGCUUGCACCCUACGUAUUACCGCGGCUGCUGGCACA